rnacentral:rRNA from 1 species
GCGCGUAAAUUGCCCGAAUCCUGACACAGGGAGGUAGUGACAAGAAAUAACAAUACAGGGCUACAUCUAGUCUUGUAAUUGGAAUGAGUACAAUUUACAUCUCUUAACGAGGAUCAAUUGGAGGGCAAGUCUGGUGCCAGCAGCCGCGGUAAUUCCAGCUCCAAUAGCGUAUAUUAAAGUUGUUGCAGUUAGAACGCUCGUAGUCGGAUUUCGGGGCGGUCCGACCGGUCUGCCGAUGGGUACGCACUGGUCGGCGCGUCCUUCCUUCCGGAGACCGUGCCUACUCUUAACUGAGCGGGGGCGGGAGACGGAACGUUUACUUUGAAAAAAUCAGAGUGUUUCAAGCAGGCAGCUCGCUCUUGCAUGGAUUAGCAUGGGAUAAUGAAAUAGGACUUUGGUGCUAUUUUGUUGGUUUCGAACACCGAAGUAAUGAUGAGAAGGGACAGUCAGGGGCACUCGUAUUCC